rnacentral:rRNA from 1 species
AGAGUUUGAUCCUGGCUCAGGAUGAACGCUAGCGGGAGGCUUAACACAUGCAAGUCGAGGGGCAGCAUAAUGUAGCAAUACGUUGAUGGCGACCGGCGCACGGGUGAGUAACACGUAUGUAACCUACCCUGUACAGGGGGAUAACCCGGAGAAAUUCGGACUAAUACCCCAUGAUGAUAUUAGGGGGCAUCCUUUGAUAUUUAAAGCUUCGGUGGUACGGGAUGGGCAUGCGGAACAUUAGCUAGUUGGCAGGGUAACGGCCUACCAAGGCUACGAUGUUUAGGGGACCUGAGAGGGUGAUCCCCCACACUGGUACUGAGACACGGACCAGACUCCUACGGGAGGCAGCAGUGAGGAAUAUUGGUCAAUGGGCGGAAGCCUGAACCAGCCAUCCCGCGUGCAGGAAGACGGCCCUAUGGGUUGUAAACUGCUUUUCCAGGGGGCGAAAUUUUCCGAUGUAUCGGGAUUUGACGGUACCCUGGGAAUAAGCAUCGGCUAACUCCGUGCCAGCAGCCGCGGUAA